rnacentral:rRNA from 1 species
GAUGAACGCUAGCUACAGGCUUAACACAUGCAAGUCGAGGGACCGGCGCACGGGUGAGUAACACGUAUCCAACCUGCCCUUUACUCGGGAUAGCCUUUCGAAAGAAAGAUUAAUACCCGAUAUAAAGGAUGGGGAUGCGUUCCAUUAGGUUGUUGGUGAGGUACCGGCCCACCAAGCCUUCGCUGGAUAGGUGUUAGGAGAGGAAGGUCCACCAGAAUUGAACUGAGGCACGGUCCAAUCUGGUACGGGAGGCAGGAGUGUAGAGUAUUGGGCAAGGAGCGUUAGCCUGAACCAGCCAAGUGGCGGAAAGGAUGAAGCCGUAUGGGUCGUAAACUUCUUGUAAAUAAGAAUAUGUAUUAGAUGAAUAAGGAUCGGCUAACUCCGUGCCAGCAGCCGCGGUAAUUC